GGGGGGGGGGGGGGGGGGGGCUAACACAGGCGAGGCGAGCGGCAGGGCAGUGAGAGCGUGCGGUUACGGGUGGGGAGUGGCGGACGGGGGAGGAAUACAUCGGAAUCUACUGUUUCGGGGGGGAUAACGGAGGGAAACUUACGCUAAUACCGCAUACGACCUACGGGGGAAAGCAGGGGAUCUUCGGACCUUGCGCGAUUGGAGGAGCCGAUGUCGGGUUAGCUGGUGGGCGGGGUAAGGGCCCACCAAGGCGCGGAUCCGUAGCUGGUCUGAGAGGCUGAUCAGCCACACUGGAACUGAGACACGGUCCAGACUCCUACGGGAGGCAGCAGUGGGGAAUAUUGGACAAUGGGCGCAAGCCUGAUCCAGCCAUACCGCGUGGGUGAAGAAGGCCUUCGGGUUGUAAAGCCCUUUUGUUGGGAAAGAAAAGCAGCAGGUUAAUACCCCGCUGUUCUGACGGUACCCAAAGAAUAAGCACCGGCUAACUUCGUG
rnacentral:rRNA from 1 species